GGGCCUAUAGCUCAGCUGGUUAGAGCGCACGCCUGAUAAGCGUGAGGUCGAUGGUUCGAGUCCAUUUAGGCCCAUCA
rnacentral:tRNA from 67 species